rnacentral:rRNA from 1 species
ACGAACGCUGGCGGCGUGCUUAACACCUGCAAGUCGCACGGAAAGGCCCUGCUUUUGUGGGGUGCUCGAGUGGCGAACGGGUGAGUAACACGUUAGUAACCUGCCCUUGACUUUGGGAUAACUUCAGGAAACUGGGGCUAAUACCGGAUAGGAGCUCCUGCUGCAUGGUGGGGGUUGGAGAGUUUCGGCGGUUGGGGAUGGACUCGCGGCUUAUCAGCUUGUUGGUGGGGUAGUGGCUUACCAAGGCUUUGACGGGUAGCCGGCCUGAGAGGGUGACCGGCCACAUUGGGACUGAGAUACGGCCCAGACUCCUACGGGAGGCAGCAGUGGGGAAUAUUGCACAAUGGGCGGAAGCCUGAUGCAGCAACGCCGCGUGCGGGAUGACGGCCUUCGGGUUGUAAACCGCUUUCGCCUGUGACGAAGCGUGAGUGACGGUAAUGGGUAAAGAAGCACCGGCUAACUACGUG